CCCCUUUUCACAUGACUAAAUGAGAAAAUAAGUAUUUUUAAAUUAUUUGAAAAACGGCUGAUUCAUUGCAUUGUUUUUUAUUCACGUCCUGGAAAAUCUGCGGGAAGUGAAAUCACUAAGUCGAUUUCACAAUCAAAUUAAUGUUUUCAUAGAGGAUUAUAAAAACAGUGCAUCAGUGUUCGAACAUAAAUAGAAAUUUAACAUUAAUAACUGCUUAUACAAUUCUUGAUGGUUACCGUUUGCAGACAUGUAUCGAUGUGGAAGAAUGUGCAGCUAGUAAUGGAGGCUGUGAUAUCUUGUCCGAACGUCUAAUACGAAGGAUAAUUGUCCAUGGAUUCCAAACAGUGGCCAAGAGGACAGUGGCAGUGAUCAGCUUGGGAACAGUUGCGACGACAACGAUGAUAAUGACAGCAUUCCGGAUAAUAAGAACAACUGUCCCUUUGUUAAGAACUAUCUGCAGGAGGACGGUGACGGUGUGGGGGACGCCUGAGACAAUUGCCCAGUCGCAAACGUAGACCAGGCAGACAACCACCGUGACGGUCAGGGAGAUGUUUGCAAUAUCGACGAUGACGACGAUGGAUACAAUGACACCAUGGACAACUGUCCGAGGACAGCAAACGAGGACCAGCUACUGGACGAAGAUUCUGAUGGUAUUGGGGACGCUUGCGACCUUGCCCCGAUCAUCCGAGCCGUGACACGGACCACAACGGAUAUAGUGACCCUUGUGAUCCGGUUAUGCUGAUCGGAAAACACGCCCUGGCAGCUCUCGACUACUCAGGUACUCUUUUCGUCAAUAACCUUGGGCAGGCAAACGACUAUAUCGGGUUCAUCUUUGAUUACCAAAGCAACAGGAAGUUUUAUCUGGCCGUGUGGCGGCGGGAAAAUGUGAACAAUCGGAAUGCGAAGGCGGACAUUCGAGGACAUCAGGUGAAGAAAGUGCACUCGUCCAGUGGGCUCGCUGCAAUUUACCACUCGCACACAACAGCCAAUGAGGUGAAGCUACUUUGGCAUGAUCCAUUAUUGCAAGGGUGGACAGAUGACGCACAGAUGGACUCUUAAACAUCGUCCCGAUGUCAGAUUGAUCAGGGGGCUAUUCAACCUCCAACGUCCAGGCGCCUUCUGACGAUAAAGGGAAGCAGCGCUGUCAUUUCAAUGAUCCCGAUGAUGACAAAGGCCAGAUUGUAACUGCCAGUUUGGUCAAAAAUCCAACCUGGAUGGAAAAAAAUUACUUUUAGAUACACACGUUUGAUAAUAGUCUACAAUAUAAAUGCUCUUUUCAAAUGCAGUAUACAAACAUUUCGUUGCCCCGUCGUUCUCUUCCACUCAAAUGAGAGGCGUUGGACGUAAUGUCAUAAUUAUAGUAAUCAAUAUCGCAACAGUGCUAACAAGUCUCUCUUUGGCAGUUCAGCCUCGUUUUCAUAGCUGGUAUUUCCUUACAAGAAGCACAAGGUCUCGUAAAUUUACAGACAACUCAGUUGGUUCAAAGCUAUCUUACUCAAGUGAAAUGUUUCAAUUUUUAUCAAAGUAUGUGAUGGAACUCCUCCAUCACUUGGUUACCGGUUGAUUCUUUCUAAUAUUUUGGUGUAAUAUGCAAAUGGUUUGUGAAUAGUUUACCUGGUAAGAAGCCCGCGAUAGGUCGGCACAUCCCACUGAACAAACCUAUCCAGCCGUAAGCGUUGGCCAUUUUCUCAG